AGUGAACGCUGGCGGUAGGCCUAACACAUGCAAGUCGAACGGCAGCACAGUAAGAGCUUGCUCUUACGGGUGGCGAGUGGCGGACGGGUGAGGAAUACAUCGGAAUCUACUUUUUCGUGGGGGAUAACGUAGGGAAACUUACGCUAAUACCGCAUACGACCUACGGGUGAAAGCAGGGGAUCUUCGGACCUUGCGCGAUUGAAUGAGACGAUGUCGGAUUAGCUAGUUGGCGGGGUAAAGGCCCACCAAGGCAACGAUCCGUAGCUGGUCUGAGAGGAUGAUCAGCCACACUGGAACUGAGACACGGUCCAGACUCCUACGGGAGGCAGCAGUGGGGAAUAUUGGACAAUGGGCGCAAGCCUGAUCCAGCCAUACCGCGUGGGUGAAGAAGGCCUUCGGGUUGUAAAGCCCUUUUGUUGGGAAAGAAAAGCAGCAGGUUAAUACCCCGCUGUUCUGACGGUACCCAAAGAAUAAGCACCGGCUAACUUCGUG
rnacentral:rRNA from 1 species